rnacentral:rRNA from 1 species
GAUGAACGCUGGCUACAGGCUUAACACAUGCAAGUCGAGGGGAAACGCCGGGGAAGCUUGCUUCCCCGGGCGUCGACCGGCGCACGGGUGAGUAACGCGUAUCCAACCUGCCUCUGACUGAGGGAUAACCCGUCGAAAGUCGGCCUAAUACCUCAUGGCAUCGUCUGCGGGCAUCCAACGACGAUUAAAGAUUUCAUCGGUCAGGGAUGGGGAUGCGUCUGAUUAGCUUGUUGGCGGGGUAACGGCCCACCAAGGCGACGAUCAGUAGGGGUUCUGAGAGGAAGGUCCCCCACAUUGGAACUGAGACACGGUCCAAACUCCUACGGGAGGCAGCAGUGAGGAAUAUUGGUCAAUGGGCGGGAGCCUGAACCAGCCAAGUAGCGUGCAGGAUGACGGCCCUAUGGGUUGUAAACUGCUUUUAUGCGGGGAUAAAGUGAGGGACGGGUCCCUCAUUGCAGGUACCGCAUGAAUAAGGACCGGCUAAUUCCGUG